UACGAAGGGGGGCUAGCGUUGCUCGGAAUCACUGGGCGUAAAGCGCACGUAGGCGGAUCUUUAAGUCAGGGGUGAAAUCCUGGAGCUCAACUCCAGAACUGCCUUUGAUACUGGGGAUCUCGAGUCCGGAAGAGGUGAGUGGAACUCCGAGUGUAGAGGUGAAAUUCGUAGAUAUUCGGAGGAACACCGGUGGCGAAGGCGACAUCCUGGACCGGUAUUGACGCUGAGGCGCGAAAGCCAGGGGAGCAAACGGGG
rnacentral:rRNA from 1 species